GUGGAGAGGAACAAAUCUGAGUCAU
rnacentral:piRNA from 1 species